rnacentral:rRNA from 1 species
UUGGAGGGCAAGUCUGGUGUCAGCAGCCGCGGUAAUUCCAGCUCCAAUAGCGUAUAUUAAAGUUGUUGCAGUUAAAAAGCUCGUAGUUGAAUUUCGGGGUUCUACCGUUGGUCGGGCUUUGUCUGUACUGGCGUGUAGAAUUUCUACCUUCUGGGGAACCAUCAUGUUAUUAAUUUAACGUGGUGGGAAACCAGGACCUUUACCUUGAAAAAAUUAGAGUGUUCAAAGCAGGCUUAUGUCUGAAUACAUUAGCAUGGAAUAAUAAAAUAGGACGGUGGUCCUGUUUUGUUGGUUUCUGAAUCACCGUAAUGAUUAAUAGGGAUAGUUGGGGGCAUUAGUAUUCAAUUGUCAGAGGUGAAAUUCUUGGAUUUAUUGAAGACUAACUUCUGCGAAAGCAUUUGCCAAGGAUGUUUUCAUUAAUCAAGAACGAAAGUUAGGGGAUCGAAGACGAUCAGAUACCGUCGUAGUCUUAACCAUAAACUAUGCCGACUAGGGAUCGGACGAUGUUAAUUUUUCUUGACUCGUCGUUCGGCGCCUUACGGGAAAC